GCCGGUGUAGCUCAGCUNNUGGUAGAGCACGUCAUUCGUAAUGAUGGGGUCGGGGGUUCGAGUCCCUUCACCGGCACCA
rnacentral:tRNA from 1 species